GAUCCUGGCUCAGAGCGAACGUUAGCGGCGGGCCUAACACAUGCAAGUCGAACGCGAAAGGUCUUCGGACUGAGUAGAGUGGCGCACGGGUGAGUAACACGUAGGUAAUCUACCCUUUGGCGGGGGAUAACGUUCCGAAAGGAGCGCUAAUACCGCAUAAGACCACGUGGUCUCCGGACCGAGUGGGAAAAGGUGGCCUCUUCUUGAAAGCUACCACCGAAGGAUGAGCCUGCGUCCCAUCAGCUAGUUGGUAAGGUAAUGGCUUACCAAGGCAAAGACGGGUAGCUGGUUUGAGAGAAUGAUCAGCCACACUGGCACCGGAACACGGGCCAGACUCCUACGGGAGGCAGCAGUGAGGAAUAUUGGGCAAUGGGCGAAAGCCUGACCCAGCCACGCCGCGUGAGUGAUGAAGGCCCUCGGGUCGUAAAGCUCUGUGGAGAGGGACGAAAACCCUGGUUUCAAAUAGGCUCCAGGCUUGACGGUACCUCUUUAGCAAGCACCGGCUAACUCUGUG
rnacentral:rRNA from 1 species